UCUACCUUCCAGUUUCAACAAGUUCCUACCUCCCCCUGCUACCACAGGUUGAGUGAAUAGUCCCAGGGGUAGGGAGAAGACACGAGUGCUAGUUAAAUGAGCACAUUGGACAACAGGACCUCCAUGGUCCCGGAAACUCUGUGAGUCUGUGAUUUUCCCUCUCUCUACUUGAUGCAUGCUACUCUCAUAUGAUCGGCCAACGUUGUCAAAGGUGGAUCUGAGGAAUGCCAGGGCGCAUUCAGAGAGCAGAGUGACAGCAGCAAAGGAAGAUUCCUUCCUAUUC